UCUGGAGUGGUCUGUUGGUAGGCCAGUCGGAUUCUGACUCCGGCCUCCGUUGGUUCGAUUCCAGCCUCCAGAGC
rnacentral:tRNA from 1 species